CAGCCGCCGCGGUAAUACGUAGGGUGCAAGCGUUAAUCGGAAUUACUGGGCGUAAAGCGUGCGCAGGCGGUUUCGUAAGACAGAUGUGAAAUCCCCGGGCUUAACCUAGGAACUGCAUUUGUGACCGCGAGGCUAGAGUGUGUCAGAGGGGGGUGGAACUCCACGUGUAGCAGUGAAAUGCGUAGAUAUGUGGAGGAACACCGAUGGCGAAGGCAGCCCCCUGGGAUAACACUGACGCUCAUGCACGAAAGCGUGGGGAGCAAACAGGAUUAGAUACCCGCGUAGUCCCUGUCUCUUAUAC
rnacentral:rRNA from 1 species